rnacentral:rRNA from 1 species
GAUGAACGCUGGCGGCGUGCCUAAUACAUGCCAGUCGAGCGAACGGACGAGAAGCUUGCUUCUCUGAUGUUAGCGGCGGACGGGUGAGUAACACGUGGAUAGCCUACCUAUAAGACUGGGAUAACUUCGGGAAACCGGAGCUAAUACCGGAUGAUAUUUUGAACCGCAUGGUUCAAAAGUGAAAGACGGUCUUGCUGUCACUUAUAGAUGGAUCCGCGCUGCAUUAGCUAGUUGGUAAGGUAACGGCUUACCAAGGCAACGAUGCAUAGCCGACCUGAGAGGGUGAUCGGCCACACUGGAACUGAGACACGGUCCAGACUCCUACGGGAGGCAGCAGUAGGGAAUCUUCCGCAAUGGGCGAAAGCCUGACGGAGCAACGCCGCGUGAGUGAUGAAGGUCUUCGGAUCGUAAAACUCUGUUAUUAGGGAGGAACAUAUGUGUAAGUAACUGUGCACAUCUUGACGGUACCUAAUCAGAAAGCCACGGCUAACUACGU